AGAACGAACGCUGGCGGCAGGCCUCAAACAUGCAGGUCUAGGGGGUGUAGCAAUACAUCACCGGCGGACGGGUGCGUAACGCGUGGGAAUGUACCUAUUGGUUCGGAACAACUGAGGGAAACUUCAGCUAAUACCGGAUGAGCCCGAAAGGGGAAAGAUUUCUCGCCAAUAGAUCAGCCCGCGUCCGAUUAGCUAGUUGGUGGGGUUAAAGCCUACCAAGGCGACGAUCGGUAGCUGUUCUGAGAGGAAGAUCAGCCACACUGGGACUGAGACACGGCCCAGACUCCUACGGGAGGCAGCAGUUGGGAAUCUUGGACAAUGGGGGAAACCCUGAUCCAGCCAUGCCGCGUGAGUGAUGAAGGCCUUCGGGUUGUAAAACUCUUUCGACGGGACGAUAAUGACGGUACCCGUAGAAGAAGCUCCGGCUAACUUCGUGCCAGCAGCCGC
rnacentral:rRNA from 1 species